CAAUGACUACAAAAUAGUUCUACCCGUUAGUACAUUUUGUUUUCCAACUUUUUUCUACGGAUACUCUUCAAAUGGAUUCCACUUGCUCUGCCAAAGCAAGGAAGAAUUCCAAGAACCAAUCGCCUGAAGUCAAGCUGCAGUUAGACCUCACUGAGUGUUAGAGGAGGAAAGAUUUACUUUCGGCCAUAACUCUCUACGAAACUGCAGUUUCAGAGAAGUUGAAAUUCAAUAGGCAACACUUUAAUACUCUCCUCUACCUAUGUUCUACCGCUAUUUCUAUCCCCUCAUUGAAAGAAUCCGCCGUGUGCAGUCUGUGAAAGCUGAGGUUGUGCUUUCUCUGUGUUUGAAAAUUCCGGUGAGUUUAAUUAGCCUUUGUGUUUGCUCUGUGUAUUUAUAGAGAGAGAGAGAGGAUUGAUGAAAUUGAUCCAAUUGGAAAUUUGCUAACAAAAUCUUUUUAAUAUAAAAAUAUUAUACAUUUUCUUUUCUCACGAUAAAAUAUUCUUAAUUAAAUUUAACACGAACGUUGGAUGGAAAAAAAAAAGAGAGAAACAAAAAUCAAGAACAAUACCCUAAAACAAAGCAACACAAUCCAACUUCAAUUUAUAAUACACAAAAA